rnacentral:tRNA from 1 species
GCGGGAAUAGCUCAGUCGGUAGAGCACAACCUUGCCAAGGUUGCGGUCACGAGUUCAAAUCUCGUUUCCCGCU